GACAUUCUCACAGGAGUGUGCCCGAUCUCGUCUGAUCUCGGAAGCUAAGCAGGGUUGGGCCUGGUUAGUACUUGGAUGGGAGACCUCACGAUUUCUAUUGUGUCU
rnacentral:rRNA from 1 species